AGGACGAACGCUGGCGGCGUGCCUAACACAUGCAAGUCGAACGCGCUCCAUUCGGUAGCAAUACUGAUGAAGAGCGAGUGGCGAACGGGUGAGUAGCACGUGAGCAACCUGCCCCGAAGACCGGGACAACACCGGGAAACCGGUGCUAAUACCGGAUAUCCCUAUCGGACCGCAUGAUCUGAUAAGGAAAUGGAUUCCGCUUCGGGAGGGGCUCGCGGCCUAUCAGCUAGUUGGUGAGGUAACGGCCCACCAAGGCAUCGACGGGUAGCUGGUCUGAGAGGACGAUCAGCCACACUGGGACUGAGACACGGCCCAGACUCCUACGGGAGGCAGCAGUGGGGAAUCUUGCGCAAUGGGCGAAAGCCUGACGCAGCAACGCCGCGUGGAGGACGAAGGCUUUCUGAGUUGUAAACUCCUUUCAGCAGGGACGAUAGUGACGGUACCUGCAGAAGAGCACCGGCCAACUACGCGCCAGCAGCCGCGGUAA
rnacentral:rRNA from 1 species